UCUUAGCAUACAUCAAAUCAAACUUAUGAUCAAUCCUCGAGAACACCUCCGCCACACUCGUCGAAUUCGAUAUCAUACAAACCGCCCUCUGCACCUUCGCCAAGUCCCCUCCCGGUACCACCGUCGGCGGCUGGUAGUUAAUCCCACACUUAAACCCCGUCGGACACCAGUCUACAAACUGUAUAGUCCUCUUGGUCUUGAUCGUCGCCACCGCCG
rnacentral:misc_RNA from 1 species